UUGUAAAGAGUUUACUUCUAGUGAACUGGUGACCAUUAAAGGUCUUUGCCCCUAGGCAUGGCUAACAUAGCUCAACAAUAUGUAAGAAAUUUUUAUUAUCGGCUUCAAUACAAGAAGCAAAAGGUUUAAAUCUUUUGGUAUAUAUUGUUUCCUAAGUGAAAAGUAUUUUAUUAGCUAAUGUCUCUAAAGGGAAGUUUAAAGUUCUGGGGAAUACUUGUUGCUUCAUAAGAUUCAGAGGCAAUAUCUUUUUUAAUAAUUGUGGUUUCAGUCAUACUGGAAAAUUGGUACAAAUUUACUUCAAAAUUUUAUUUCCAAAAGCUUACAGGAUAUGUUAAUUGGCUAAGACCUCACCUUAAACUUGCCACAGGAGAACCUAAGCCUUUGUUAGGUGCUAUCAAGUGAGAUUCCAAUUAACUGGUGAGAACCAAAGAGGCUUUAACAUAAAGUAAAAGAAACUUCUGUAAUCUAUUGGUAUAGAUUGUAAUUGGUGGUAAUCAAAUAUUAGUUACAUAUUCUAGUUAUUUUUAUUAAAUGUGUCCACAGCUAUUUUUUGGCAAAAUAAACAUUAAUGUAAAAUCAUCCUUCUUCACCUCAAAGUUUUAACAUCCUAUUAUAAGGCUGCUGUGGUGCUAAUUAAGAAUUAAGAAUUCCUUGUUCCAAACAGCAAUUGGCUAUUGCAGAAUAUUGAUAUUUGACCUAUUGCAUACCAUAAUUUUAAAUAAAAUUGAUAUUCAUCAUAAGAUAAGUUAGAAAUUGCUCAUGCAUGCUUUUUUAUCUUCAUGCAUGCUUACAUCCCAUUUACUGUAAUUAAAAACAACCCUUCUAUGGGAGAAAAGUAUAUGUGAAUUAAAUCACAUGAUUAUUCUUUUGAGUUUCCUCCUGUUUCAGCACAGAUAAUUAAAUUGUGUUCUGAAGAUGGUGUUUAAAAAUGUUGAACAAUUAAACUUUAAGUUGUAUAUUAAUAGUCAAUAUUAUAUCUCAGAGCUUGCAAUUGCUUAUGUAACUUAUAAGAAAAAAUACUGUUUCUUUAAGAAAAUUGUUUUUGGGCAGUUAAGAAAUUGUCCUAAGUUGCCUGGAAAAGACCCCCAGGAUUUGCUUUUGUGUUAUAGAGGUUUACAUAAAGCUUUAACUAAUAAAGAUUACAGAUACCUCCUGAAAAGAUACAAACUCAGGAUUCUUAUAUUUUUGGGGGUUUUAAAAGAUAGUUAUUUACAGAGACAACUUAAAGACUUUCUCUAAUUUCUGAUUAAUAAAUAAAUAAAUUAUACACAAGUGACUAAAAUGACUUUUCAAGCAUUCUAGUUACAAUCUCUCUUCAAGAGAAACAAUUGAAAGUGUAAUUAGUCAGUGUUCAUGUUAUAUUAAAACUGACUAACAGUUCAGUAUCUAAAAUUUUGAUGAAAAUACAAGAUUGUAUUUUGAUGCGUGAACACCCUUUUUAUAUUCAACAUAUUAGAGUACAUACAUCAUUACCUGGCUCCUAUUCAAAAAAAAAAUCCUAAGCUGAAGUUAGCCAUUGGCAAGAAAGACUAAACAGAUAAGUCCUAGCUGUUUAUUUUAUAAAUGUAAAUAGUAUAUAUGACUGGGCUGAAUAGCCACCCUAGAAACAAAUGCUCUGUUCUUGCUAGUCAAAAACAUUCAUGAUAGUUUUGCCAUCAGAUGAAUGUGACUCAUCUGAAUGGUCUUCAAUAUAAUCCUAAAGGACAAGGCAUUGUAGAACGUGCCCAUCGCACUCUCAAGUCCUAUUUAAUUGAACAAAAAGGGGGAGUCGAGGAGGCUCUAUCCUCAGUACCAAGAGUAGCUGUUUCUAUGGCACUCUUCACUCUUAAUUUUUUAAAUGUUGAUGCUCAAGGCCAUACUGCGGCUGAACAUCACUGUUCAGAACCUGAUAGGCCCAAGGAAAUGGUAAAGUGGAAAGAUGUCUUGACAGGAAAAUGAAGAGGCCCGGAUCCUAUUCUAAUAAGAUCCAGAGGAGUUAUAUGUGUUUUUCCACAGGAGGAAAUUAAUCCCUUUUGGAUUCUGGAGCACCUCACUCGAAGAAUCCAGCUCUUGGAUGAUGAGUCAUAAGAACAAGAUCUCAAGACAUCGAUGGAUCAUACUUCUCAUGCUGGAGAUUCUCAUUCCUAGUAUAUCUGGAGAGUUAAGAUGGGGAAUUAUGUCAACUUUCCUUCUUCCUAUGCCGGUUAUGCAUAAUGCACAAAUAUUUCCAAGCUUUUUCACUACAGAUAAAGAACUGGGACUUGCUUAUUUACCCUUAGAUGAACAGAUUCAGGCUUUACUAGAAAAUAGAACCUUCUUCCUACAGGGAAGCCUGUGCUUUAUGUUAAUUUCCUCGUUACAAGAUAAGGGUCAAUCUAUAUCCUUGUAUUAUCAAUCAGCAGCCUGGUUAAGAAAGAGCUCUUGGGGCGUAACGACUGAUAUAAAGGCUGAUACCAUAGUUAUUAGAGGAUGGUGACCUAGCCGAAAACAUGGAAAUAAUCCACCUUCACAACCAAGAAUGGCACCCUUUUGCAAGGGAGGGUCCAUGGAAGAUGUAAUGUUACCUUGGACAGGUUGCCAAGCUAAAAAAUGUACUUGGGCAGGAGAGAAACAUUUUUCCUUUUCCCCAUAUAUUAGUAGAGAGUAUAAUGAUACUUUUGCUGGAUAUCAUUUCAGUACCUUGGACCUCCUCCGAACUAAUACUAACCCUUUUGAUCAAUGGUUGCUUUGUGGGGUUAAUGGAAGCUGCACUGAUCUCGCCCCCAUGGCAAUGAUUGGAGGAGGUUCUAGUGAGAAAGGAGAAUUGACCUUUGAUUGGAAAAGUACCUUGAAGACCGGUCGAUCUGAUAAGCAGAGUCCAAAUUCUUUUAAAUGGACCACCUCCAAUGUUAGAUAUAAGAAACAGAAAGAGGUAAAUUUUACCACCACCCCGGUAUGUGUAUGGCCCCCAUUUUUGUGGGUGGUAAGUAACACAAGCUUAAAUCAGAAUCAGAUAGAGAUAGAUUUCUCACAAGACAAAUGUUUUUAUGCCUUAUGCUGGGAUGCUAAGAAAUAUCCUUUUGCUUUGGUUACCCGCAUGCCUAGAUUUGUUCCUGUUCCUGUAGAUGCCCCUAAUAGCUUGACUUUGUUUCAAGGGAAAAGAGAUUUUGGUAUUUCUGCUAUUAUAGUUGGAUUGGUGGCCACAGCGGCGGUUGCAGCCUCUGUCACGGCCUCGGCACUUGCUCUAUCUACUAGUAUUCAAACAACACAAACUAUUAAUGAGCUUUCUAUGACGGUCACAAUGGCUUUAGAUAAACAAGCCACAGCCAACUCACAAAUACAAGGAGGGUUGUUGCUGAUAAAUCAGUGCAUCGACUUAGUCCAAGAGCAGGUGGAUAUUCUUUGGCAGUUGGCUCAAUUGGGCUGUGAAUACAAGAUGCCUGGCCUUUGUGUUACUUCUGUUCAGUUUAAAAAUUCUACAAGAGCAGCAAAUUAGUCAAAAACUUUGUCUCGUUAUAUGUUACAGAAUUGGACCAUGGAAUUUGAGCAAACACUUUGAGAGUUGAGAGUUGCUAUUCUACAAGUGAAUUCUACGUGUCUCGACCUUUCGCUGACAAAGGGCUUCUCCACCUGGAUUUCCUCUGCAUUUUCCUACUUUAAGGAGUGGGUGGGGGUAGGCUUGUUUGCCGUGAUCCUAUGCGGUGGAGCGUUGCUUUUGCUCUGGAUGGUCUGUAACCUUAAAGCCCAAACAAAAAGGGACAAGAUGGUGAUAGCCCAAGCACUUGCAGCAUUAGAACACGGUACCUCCCCUGAUAUAGGGUUAUCUAUACUUAAGCAAUAGGUCGCUGUCCGCUCAGCUCUUGCAACCCACGAGGCUAUUCUCAUUGCACGGGAUAGAGUGAGUGUGCUUCAGCAGCCCGAGAGAGUUGCACGGCUAAGCACUGCAGUAGAAAGGCUCUGCGGCAUAAAAUGAGCCUAUUCUAGGGAGACAUGUCAUCUUGUAUGAAGGUUGAGUGUCCAAGUGUCCUUCCCCCAGGAAAAUCGACACAGGAGGGACCAAGACCCCUCCGGGUGAUGAGCCUGGGAGGAGGUUUUGUGUAAUGCCCCUAUUUUUGCACACUGGGGAUUUGACCUCUAUCUCCACUCUCAAUAUAUGGGUGGCCUAUUGCUCUUAAAUAAAAGAAAAGGGGGAGAUGUGAGGAGCUGCCCUUGCAAUCGCCAUUACAAGAUGGCCCUGAUAUCCGGUGUUCUAACUAGUAAACAAGUAGUCUGCGCAUGUGCUGGGGUAUUUUUCCAUUCCUUGUGCCCUGCCUGUCCCAUGGCAUCAUCUGGGCUGAUAGUGAGGGUGAAAUAUGUCUCCAACUGCUCUUGUGGACUAUUUAAGGACCAAGUUUCCUGUCUUCUGGGCCUCCUCCCCAGAGGCUGAUGAUCUUUCUCUCGAGAUGCAUUAAAGCUAUGCUGCAGAAGAAU
rnacentral:lncRNA from 1 species